UUACUCAGCAGUUGGGCCCCCCUGACAGCUGUUCAAUGGGGAUUAUGAUGUCACAGUGGUAAUUACACUAUAAACAGGGGAUGGGGGAUAGGAAAGCAUGAAAGAGAACUGUGAGCUCUUGUUACCAGGCAACACAAAAUCUGUAACCUGAAACCCAGCAAGCAUGUAAAUUCCCUUACAAGCCUCCCAGAUGUCCUCACUUCAGGGCCAACAGCUCAGUUUCAGUUUCAAUUUGUUUAUUUACUCUUCUCCAGUCACCAGUGUGGACCUGAGAAUGUUGGAAGAGAGAGGAGAAAGCAAAGGAAAAUGGGAAAAGGAGGGAUUGUGUUUUCUGCACGGGGUGGCAGCCAACAGGAGAGAGAACCAAGGACCUUGCCCCUUCUGCAGAGGAUUUGGAAACAGGUGCACUCUCCCACGGAAUGUCUGCCUUCCUAAGCAGAAUCAAGCACAUCUCCACUCCCCAGUCCACCUGUGGUCCCCUUUUCCAGAGAGCUACUGAAGCAUGCUGUGAAUGGCAGGGGAAAGCUCUUGAGGACAGAUGGUUACAUUUUCAGGAAUUCUGCAAUCUGAUUAUUUAAUUGCUAGUAGUUUAAAAUCUACCAUGGUGAAAGAAAUUACACCACAAUAUUGACAGACACAACAAAUGAAGCUUUGCCUCCCUAUUCCCCAGACAUCUUGGUGACCAGCACACUACAGUUCCUAAGCAACUGCUUUCAACCUCUUUUGAGAUCCAGUGACUCACAGAGGAUGGGCAGCAACCUGUAGCCAUUGAGACUUGUAAGUCAUGAGCCUCAGUAUACAAAGCUAGGAAAGAAGAUGCUUCCUCAAUAAAAUAUAAAAAAAACCUGUGUCAGGAUUUGAAUUCCCCUGGACUAUUGUCCAUGU
rnacentral:lncRNA from 1 species